rnacentral:rRNA from 1 species
UACGUAGGGGGCAAGCGUUGUCCGGAUUUAUUGGGCGUAAAGAGCGUGUAGGCGGCCUGGAAGGUCAGCUGUGAAAACUCGAGGCUCAACCUCGAGACGUCGGUUGAAACCACCUGGCUAGAGUCCGGAAGAGGAGAGUGGAAUUCCCGGUGUAGCGGUGGAAUGCGCAGAUAUCAGGAGGAACACCAAUGGCGAAGGCAGAUCUCUGGGCCGUAACUGACGCUGAGGAGCGAAAGCAUGGGGAGCGAACAGG